UGAGUAACCUGCCCUUCACUCUGGGAUAACUCCGGGAAACCGGGGCUAAUACUGGAUAUGACUCGAACAGGCAUCUGUUUCGGGUGGAAAGAUUUAUUGGUGGAGGAUGGACUCGCGGCCUAUCAGCUUGUUGGUGAGGUAAUGGCUCACCAAGGCGACGACGGGUAGCCGGCCUGAGAGGGCGAUCGGCCACACUGGGACUGAGACACGGCCCAGACCUCCGUACGGGGAGGCCA
rnacentral:rRNA from 1 species